AGGGUUCGAUUCUGGCUCAGAACGAACGCUGGCGGCAGGCCUAACACAUGCAAGUCGAGCGCACCUUCGGGUGAGCGGCGGACGGGUUAGUAACGCGUGGGAACGUACCCUUUUCUACGGAAUAGCCUUUGGAAACGAAGAGUAAUACCGUAUACGCCCUUUGGGGGAAAGAUUUAUCGGAGAAGGAUCGGCCCGCGUUAGAUUAGGUAGUUGGUGGGGUAACGGCCUACCAAGUCUACGAUCUAUAGCUGGUUUUAGAGGAUGAUCAGCAACACUGGGACUGAGACACGGCCCAGACUCCUACGGGAGGCAGCAGUGGGGAAUCUUAGACAAUGAGCGCAAGCCUGAUCUAGCCAUGCCGCGUGAGUGAUGAAGGCCUUAGGGUCGUAAAGCUCUUUCGCCUGUGAUGAUAAUGACAGUAGCAGGUAAAGAAACCCCGGCUAACUCCGUGCCAGCCGCCGCGGUAAUAC
rnacentral:rRNA from 1 species